CAAGUGUAGGGGUGAAUGAAGUCUGAUGCAGCCAUGCCGCGUGAGUGAUGAAGGCCCUAGGGUUGUAAAGCUCUUUCUUCAGGGAAGAAAAUGACUGUACCUGUAUAAGAUGGACCGGACCGGUCCAUUCCAGCACCGCCAUCUCUAUGCAUGA
rnacentral:rRNA from 1 species